rnacentral:rRNA from 1 species
AUUGAACGCUGGCGGCAGGCUUUACACAUGCAAGUCGGACGAGUGGCGGACGGGUGAGUAACAUCUCGGAACGUACCGAAUAAUGGGGGAUAACUAAUGGAAAGAUUAGCUAAUACCGCAUACUAUCCGAACGGCCGAUAUCGGAUUAGCUGGUUGGUGGGGUAAAGGCCUACCAAGGCGACGAUCCGUAGCGGGUCUGAGAGGAUGACCCGCCACACUGGAACUGGGACACGGCCCAGACUCCUACGGGAGGCAGCAGUGGGGAAUUUUGGACAAUGGGCGCAAGCCUGAUCCAGCCAUGCCGCGUGUCUGAAGAAGGCCUUCGGGUUGUAAAGGACUUUCGGCGGGGAAGCGUUACCUGCAGAAUAAGCACCGGCUAACUCCGUGCCAGCAGCCGCGGUAAUUC